AAUCAACGCUGGCGGCGUGCCUCAGACAUGCAAGUCGAACGCGAAAUCUCCCUUCGGGGAGAAAGUAGAGUGGCGCACGGGUGAGUAACACGUAGGUAAUUUGCCUUUGGGUGGGGAAUAACUCAGGGAAACUUGAGCUAAUACCGCAUAAUGCAGCGGCUCGACAUCGAGACAGUUGUUAAAGGCGGGGGAUUCGCAAGAACCUCGCGCCUGAAGAGAAGCCUGCGGCAGAUUAGCUUAGUUGGGUAGGUAAUGGCCUAACCAAGGCAACGAUCUGUAACCGGCCUGAGGAGGGCGGUCGGUCACACUGACACCGACAGUA
rnacentral:rRNA from 1 species